rnacentral:rRNA from 1 species
AUUGAACGCUGGCGGCAUGCCUUACACAUGCAAGUCGAACGGCAGCACGGGAGCAAUCCUGGUGGCGAGUGGCGAACGGGUGAGUAAUAUAUCGGAACGUGCCCAGUCGUGGGGAUAACGUAGCGAAAGCUACUCUAAUACCGCAUACGAUCUAUGGAUGAAAGCGGGGGAUCGCAAGACCUCGCGCGAUUGGAGCGGCCGAUAUCAGAUUAGGUAGUUGGUGAGGUAAAGGCUCACCAAGCCGACGAUCUGUAGCUGGUCUGAGAGGACGACCAGCCACACUGGGACUGAGACACGGCCCAGACUCCUACGGGAGGCAGCAGUGGGGGAAUUUUUGGGACAAUGGGCGCAAGCCUGAUCCAGCAAUGCCGCGUGCAGGAUGAAGGCCUCGGUUGU